rnacentral:rRNA from 1 species
UACGGAGGGAGCUAGCGUUAUUCGGAAUUACUGGGCGUAAAGCGCACGUAGGCGGCUUUGUAAGUAAGAGGUGAAAGCCUGGAGCUCAACUCCAGAAUUGCCUUUUAGACUGCAUCGCUCGAAUCAUGGAGAGGUCAGUGGAAUUCCGAGUGUAGAGGUGAAAUUCGUAGAUAUUCGGAAGAACACCAGUGGCGAAGGCGGCUGACUGGACAUGUAUUGACGCUGAGGUGCGAAAGCGUGGGGAGCAAACAGG